rnacentral:rRNA from 1 species
GAUGAACGCUGGCGGCGUGCCUAAUACAUGCAAGUCGAGCGAACAGACGAGGAGCUUGCUCCUCUGACGUUAGCGGCGGACGGGUGAGUAACACGUGGAUAACCUACCUAUAAGACUGGGAUAACUUCGGGAAACCGGAGCUAAUACCGGAUAAUAUAUUGAACCGCAUGGUUCAAUAGUGAAAGACGGUUUUGCUGUCACUUAUAGAUGGAUCCGCGCCGCAUUAGCUAGUUGGUAAGUUAAAGGCUUACCAAGGCAACGAUGCGUAGCCGACCGGAUAGGGUUGUCGGCCACACUGGAACAGAGACACGUUCCAUACGCGUCAGGAAGGCAUCAGUAGAGAGUCUUCCGCAAUGGGCGAAAGACUGACGGAGCAAUGCCGCGUGAGUGAUGAAGGUCUUCGGAUCGUAGAACUAUGUUAUUAGGGAAGAACAAAUGUGUAAGUAACUAUGCACGUCUUGACGGUACCUAAUCAGAAAGCCACGGCUAACUACGUG